rnacentral:rRNA from 1 species
UACGGAGGGUGCAAGCGUUAUCCGGAUUCACUGGGUUUAAAGGGUGCGUAGGCGGGUCUUUAAGUCAGGGGUGAAAUCCCUGGGCUCAACCCAGGAACUGCGUCCGAUACUGGAAGGCUUGAAUCCGGGAGAGGGAUGCGGGAAUUCCACGUGUAGCAGUGAAAUGCGUAGAGAUGUGGAGGAACACCGGAUGGCGAAGGCAGCCCCCUGGGUCAAGACGUGACGCUCGAUGCACGAAAGCGUGGGGAGCAAACAGG